GUGGAAAUUUCGCAAUAAAUUUUUCGCUUUUAAAAAAAUCACACACUACAGAAUUUUUUUAAACUUUCACCACAGUUGCAGAGCAUCAUUCCCUAUUGAUAUAUGAAAUAAAAAAAGAUAGGUCACCGACAUCGUUUUUGAGAUAGCGGCACAUUUAUGGGUUAAAUUGGAAGGCUUUAUGCUGUCGUCAUGUUGCCAUGGGAACAUUGACAUCGUCGAAAUCUAGUUCGAAAUAUUUUUUAGGUGACCAAUAUUGCCACCAAGUCGAAAAGAAUUCGCGUUCUGCACAAAUAAGCCUGUUUUACGGAAUUAUUGCUUAAACAAGAAUAACUGUAGGGAGCCACCUUAAAAGAGCCGUGUGAAUCCAUUACCGUUUGCUAUGCUCUUGUAUCCACGAAGGUAAAACUCUUAUUGUGAGGUUGUCGACGUUUGGCGGACGACGAGCAAAUUGAGAGAGACACAUGCACACUUCAAAAACUAUGACCAAUUUACUUCUGCUUGCCGCCUUAAAUAUUUGACGUCGUAGAUACUUGAGGUAUCGACUUAUUUGGGACAACGUCCUAGUCCAAGUCCUCUGCUUAGCCCCGACGUCCUAGCUGGCGUCGACGUCGUAGAUCUUAAGUUAUCUAUUGUCUAGUGUCUAAAACGUUCUAAAACUUAUUAGAAGAGAUUUGGGAAGCUAUAUCUUUCAAGUUACAUAGAAAAAUACAUUUGUUUGAUAAUGUAGCUAACUUAAACACUUCGCGGUGCGAUCUGCAGAGAUUUUGAUUUUUGACAGACUUUAUUAAAAUCUCAUCUCAUGAAUAUACAGGUUUCUAAAUUGGUUCAUUGAAUUCAAAUGGUACUCAGUCCAGUCCUAGCUUUGUUCAGUUGUUCAGGCUGAUUGUGAUUAGGUCUGUUCAUUGUUCUAAAAAUCAUGUCAGUUUACUGCGUUUUUUUCACUUAACUGGGUUACUGAAUUUCUGCCUGAUCGCUAAGUACCCCCCCCCCUCUCGAAUAAGCAUUCUUCAAACGUGCCAGAAAUGAAC